ACAUCAAGGUUAUGAAAGGGGAUUUAGGAUAGGAAUUAUGGGAGCUAGAAAGACUUGGGCUUAUUGGUGAUAGGGUCAGUAAUUAUGGCAUGUGAGAGAAGGCUGGUAUGCCGUCACUUGGGCAUUAAGGGCUCCUUUGUUUGGGUGGGCUCUGGUGGGGAGCGGCCAUUUAGACUGCACAGACUUAGACCUAGCCACAACAUGGAGAGACAAGAUGGUGCCGAACCAGAGACUGUGU